rnacentral:rRNA from 1 species
CCCUUAGAUGUUCUGGGCUGCACGCGCGCUACACUGGUGCACUCAACAAGUUUACAACCUUGAUCGAUAGGUCUGGGUAAUCUUUUGAAUAUGCACCGUGCUAGGGAUAGAUUAUUGCAAUUAUUAAUCUUGAACGAGGAAUUCCUAGUAAAUGCAAGUCAUCAGCUUGCAUUGAUUACGUCCCUGCCCUUUGUACACACCGCCCGUCGCACCUACCGAUUGAAUGGUCCGGUGAAAUCUCGGGACGGCGGCUUGGUCGCUUGCGUCCGACUGCUGAAACUUGAUUAAACCAUAUCAUUUAGAGGAAGGUGAAGUCGUAACA